AAUGAACGCUGGCGGCGUGCUUAACACAUGCAAGUUGGACGAGAAAGGCUGAUUUCGGUUGGCCGAGUAAAGUAGCGCACGGGUGAGUAACGCGUAGGCAACCUACCCUUGUAUUGGGGAUAACCCCGCGAAAGCGGGGCUAAUACCGGAUACGAUCCCGGGAUGGUGGUUUCGGGAUGAAAGUCAGCCACUCGAAGAAGCUGACGUACGAGGAUGGGCCUGCGUCCUAUCAGCUGGUUGGUGGGGUAGCGGCCUACCAAGGCGACGACGGGUAGCUGGUCUGAGAGGAUGAUCAGCCACAUUGGAACUGAGACACGGUCCAGACUCCUACGGGAGGCAG
rnacentral:rRNA from 1 species